rnacentral:rRNA from 1 species
GACGAACGCUGGCGGCGUGCCUAACACAUGCAAGUCGAGCGGAAAUAAUUAAAGUUUACUUUGAUUAUUUUAGCGGCGGACGGGUGAGUAACACGUGGGCAACCUGCCCUUGAGAGGGGGAUAACACAGAGAAAUUUGUGCUAAUACCGCAUAACAUUUAGACUUCGCCUGGAGUUUAAAUCAAAGGAGUAAUCCGCUCAAGGAUGGGCCCGCGGCGCAUUAGCUAUUUGGUGAGGUAAUGGCUCACCAAGGCGACGAUGCGUAGCCGACCUGAGAGGGUGAUCGGCCACAUUGGAACUGAGAUACGGUCCAGACUCCUACGGGAGGCAGCAGUGGGGAAUAUUGCGCAAUGGGGGAGACCCUGACGCAGCAACGCCGCGUGAGCGAUGAAGGCCUUCGGGUUGUAAAGCUCUGUCUUUGGGGACGAUAAUGACGGUACCCAAGGAGGAAGCCACGGCUAACUACGUGCCAGCCGCCGCCGUAAUAC